CUGAUGCAGCGACGCCGCGUGAGGGAUGACGGCCUUCGGGUUGUAAACCUCUUUCAGCAGGGAAGAAGCGAAAGUGACGGUACCUGCAGAAGAAGCGCCGGCUAACUACGUGCCAGCAGCCGCGGUAAUACGUAGGGCGCAAGCGUUGUCCGGAAUUAUUGGGCGUAAAGAGCUCGUAGGCGGCUUGUCGCGUCGGUUGUGAAAGCCCGGGGCUUAACCCCGGGUCUGCAGUCGAUACGGGCAGGCUAGAGUUCGGUAGGGGAGAUCGGAAUUCCUGGUGUAGCGGUGAAAUGCGCAGAUAUCAGGAGGAACACCGGUGGCGAAGGCGGAUCUCUGGGCCGAUACUGACGCUGAGGAGCGAAAGCGUGGGGAGCGAACA
rnacentral:rRNA from 1 species